rnacentral:lncRNA from 1 species
GGCUGGAUCAGACACUUUGAGGUUUCUCUCCACACCAGUCCCCCUAUAGGUUAGCAGAGGAUUGGAGGAAUCUUUUAGAGGCCAGACUGCUGAGAGUUUCCUGCCAUGGGGCCGGCCCUGAGCAGAGCUGACUGGCCAUCUUGGAAGUUGGAACUCCAGGGUGGAAGAGUGGUUGGUAGGCAGCUCUCACUGGCCUUGGGGGGACUCCUUCCUUUCCCUCUGCUCCUGCCGACCAGAACUUCCCACUUCAAGAAGACUUUUUGGGAAGAGGAAAAGUAGCAUCUGUGAUUUCGAGACACCUCUGCCAGCAUCUGGAUGGGAUUCAGAAUUGGGAAGGCAAAGUAAUCAUACCGAUAAAAAGAGGGAGGAUUUUGGACCUCCAUGAAGAUACUGAAGUGGGGGGGGGCAGGGAGAGAGGGUGUUUAUCUGCUUGCCUGGCUGGCACCGUUGCUGUCAUCGUUUCCUUACAUCUUCACCACGACAAGACUGUGUCAUUCGAGCCAUCUUGAGAAGGAGAAGAUGAAAGCUGGGAGGCCAUGAACAUCUCGCCCAGAUUUAUGUUGCUGCAAAAAGAAUUGAAAUUGGGAGGCAGAUUGCAUCCAAAGCUGGAAUAUUUCCAUGUGCUCUUCCCUACACCAUCCUAAAGACGUGGAAGGCAGGGCCUCCCCUCCCUUCCGUGCACCUUCUUGCCCCCGCCCCUGUGGUCUCUGUAUCUGCACUAAGAUGAAUGUGCUCUGGCCUCUCCCACCUCACACAGAGCAAGGAGAAAAGGCAACAGCCUCAAAUCUGCCCAAUAUUCCACGGAAGCUGGUCUUUGUUCUACAUGGACAGUGAUUCCGUUUGAAAAGGCAGCAACAUUGAACUGCCCCAGCUUCCUGGCUAUGCCCACCGAUGAAGGUGACAAUCACGAUGCAGAAAUGGACAGUUGGGAGCGUUGGAUGGAAUACUUACAAUAGUGAACAAAGAACAGCGGAGAAGACAUUUUACCCAAACAUCUUACUUGCUGUUGGAAGUCUGGCUUGACCCAAUGUGAGGCCCUCUUCUCCAUUCCAGAUCCAGGACACCAUUCCCUGAAGGAGCCAUCAGGGGCCUGUGGGAUAGAGGCCAUUGCCGGGGAUGCCCUGAUAGAGGUAAGUGAAGCCCCAGAAGAUCAGCUUUGUCCAGGGGGCCAGGGGUCCUCAGGAUUAUAACAGCAGUGGACCCAGGAUGCUUCCCGUCUGGGAUCAGGGACUAUGGAAAACAAUGGAGUAGGACUCCAGGGACCAACAGAAAGAAACAUUCUACUGGGAAACAUGAGCGGCAGUCCUGGGCCUUUCACAUGUCAUUUUUUUUUUCCACGGAUGAGUCACAUAUGUUAUUGAAGCAUCAGUUUUCUCAUCUUCAAAAUGGAGUCCGUACUUACCUUUUUGUCUCUCUUACCCUCCACAACACCACAGACUCCAACAGGCAGGGACUAUAUUUUAUUUUCAGCGUCCCAAUUACAUCCAGCUCAUGGUAUAUUACCUGGCACCUUGUAGCCACGAUAACUACUUGUUGAAAACUAAAGUGAGUGUAGGAGUUCCUGUCAUGGCUCAGUGGUUAAUGAACCUUACUAGUAUCUAUGAGGAGGUGGGCUCGAUCUCUGACCUUGUUCAGUGGGUUAAGGAUCUGGUGUUGCUGUGAGCUGUGGGGUAGGUCGUAAAUGCAACUCAGAUCCCCCGUUGUUGUGGCUGUGGUGUAGGCUGGCAUGUAGCUGUUUCGACCCCUAGCCUGGAAACCUCUAUAUGAUGUGGGUGCAGCCCCAAAAAGACCAAAACAAAUUAAAGUGAGUGUAACAUAAGAAAGCAUAGAUAUAAAUGUUUGUAAACUUCAGGUAUAACAACAAUGUUCUCACCACCUCCAAGAUUAGCAUCCGUUUCUAUGCUUAGCAGGCAUACAGUUUGUGUUGGCUGAUAGCCUCCACAUCCUCUGUGCAAUGUAGAGCAUAUUGUGAGGUUGUUUUCAUCAAAAAUACGGAAUAUUUUCAAGCAGGAGAGCACCUGUCCUGUGUCAGACCGUACCUAUAAAUCUCCAGGUUGUCUAAGGUCUGAUGGCAGGUAGGUAACAUGCAGGUCUCUACCUGCUCCCUCUGUACUCAGAGAACAUAUUGCUUAAGACGCUUUCCUGCUGAGCCUGAACGUGGCUUCCACAUUCUUCUCUCCUGCUGUAAAAAUAGGGCUGUCCUUAUCCUUCAACCCAAACAAAUAUCUCAAAGAAUUAUGAUUUGGUUUUGCUGCUAGGAAAAAAGAGAAAUAGCAAAGAGGGAAUGAAUCAAUCCAUCCAAGGGAGAUUACUGUUAAAUUGAUUAGAAACAAGCCCCACCCCCACCCCUGCAUAGAAAGGCCACACCCAGAACACCGGAUUCAACUGCUCUGUCUCGGUGAUGGGCUGCAUUUUUUUUUUUAAUAAUAUUUUAAAGCACUUUACAAACAUUUCUAAAUUGAUAUAAUGCCUUGGAACCAGUUUAGAACACAGCAACAAGAGUGAUUAAAAGGCCAGAAGAACUGAUUUAUAAUGAAAGAUAAAGAAUGGAAUAUGACCUGAAGUUUCCAUCUUGGCUCAAUGGUUAAUGAACCCGAUUAGUAUCCAUGAGGACGCCGGUUUGAUCCUUGGCCUUGGUCAGUGGGUUAAGGAUCUGGCAUUGCCAUGAGCUGUGGUGUAAGUCACAGAUGCCUCUUGGAUCCCACGUUGCUGUGGCUGUGGUGUAGGCCGGUGGCUGUAGCUCUGAUUUGACCCCUAGCCUGGAAACCUCUGUAUGCUGUGGGCGUGGCCCUAAAAAGCAAGAAAAAAAAAAAAAAAA